GGGUCCGCACAAGCGGUGGAGCAUGUGGUUUAAUUCGAAGAUACGCGCAGAACCUUACCAACACUUGACAUGUUCGUCGCGAGACUAAGAGAUUAGUUUCUUCAGUUCGGCUGGACGAAACACAGGUGCUGCAUGGCUGUCGUCAGCUCGUGUCGUGAGAUGUUGGGUUAAGUCCCGCAACGAGCGCAACCCACGUCUUUAGUUGCCAGCAUUUAGUUGGGCACUCUAGAGAGACUGCCGGUGAUAAACCGGAGGAAGGUGUGGAUGACGUCAAGUCAUCAUGCCCCUUACAUCCUGGGCUACACACGUACUACAAUGCUACGGACAAAGGGCAGCAAGUUCGCGAGGACAAGCAAAUCCCAUAAACCGUGGCUCAGUUCAGAUCGUAGGCUGCAACUCGCCUACGUG
rnacentral:rRNA from 1 species